rnacentral:rRNA from 1 species
UGAGGAAUAUUGGUCAAUGGGCGCAAGCCUGAACCAGCCAUCCCGCGUGAAGGAAGAAGGCGCUAUGCGUUGUAAACUUCUUUUCCAGGGGAACAAAAUUCUGUACGUGUACGGAAUUGAAGGUACCCUGGGAAUAAGCAUCGGCUAACUCCGUGCCAGCAGCCGCGGUAAUACGGAGGAUGCAAGCGUUAUCCGGAUUUAUUGGGUUUAAAGGGUGCGCAGGCGGAGUAGUAAGUCAGUGGUGAAAACCUGCAGCUUAACUGUAGAAUUGCCGUUGAUACUGCUGCUCUUGAGUAUGGUCAAGGUAGGCGGAAUGUGUAAUGUAGCGGUGAAAUGCUUAGAUAUUACACAGAACACCGAUUGCGAAGGCAGCUUGCUGGGCAAUUACUGACGCUCAUGCACGAAAGCGUGGGGAUCGAACAA